AGAGUUUGAUCCUGGCUCAGGAUGAACGCUAGCUACAGGCUUAACACAUGCAAGUCGAGGGGCAGCAUGGUCUUAGCUUGCUAAGGCCGAUGGCGACCGGCGCACGGGUGAGUAACACGUAUCCAACCUGCCGUCUACUCUUGGACAGCCUUCUGAAAGGAAGAUUAAUACAAGAUGGCAUCAUGAGUCCGCAUGUUCACAUGAUUAAAGGUAUUCCGGUAGACGAUGGGGAUGCGUUCCAUUAGAUAGUAGGCGGGGUAACGGCCCACCUAGUCUUCGAUGGAUAGGGGUUCUGAGAGGAAGGUCCCCCACAUUGGAACUGAGACACGGUCCAAACUCCUACGGGAGGCAGCAGUGAGGAAUAUUGGUCAAUGGGCGAGAGCCUGAACCAGCCAAGUAGCGUGAAGGAUGACUGCCCUAUGGGUUGUAAACUUCUUUUAUAAAGGAAUAAAGUCGGGUAUGCAUACCCGUUUGCAUGUACUUUAUGAAUAAGGAUCGGCUAACUCCGUGCCAGCAGCCGCGGUAAUACGGAGGAUCCGAGCGUUAUCCGGAUUUAUUGGGUUUAAAGGGAGCGUAGAUGGAUGUUUAAGUCAGUUGUGAAAGUUUGCGGCUCAACCGUAAAAUUGCAGUUGAUACUGGAUAUCUUGAGUGCAGUUGAGGCAGGCGGAAUUCGUGGUGUAGCGGUGAAAUGCUUAGAUAUCACGAAGAACUCCGAUUGCGAAGGCAGCCUGCUAAGCUGCAACUGACAUUGAGGCUCGAAAGUGUGGGUAUCAAACAGGAUUAGAUACCCUGGUAGUCCACACGGUAAACGAUGAAUACUCGCUGUUUGCGAUAUACUGCAAGCGGCCAAGCGAAAGCGUUAAGUAUUCCACCUGGGGAGUACGCCGGCAACGGUGAAACUCAAAGGAAUUGACGGGGGCCCGCACAAGCGGAGGAACAUGUGGUUUAAUUCGAUGAUACGCGAGGAACCUUACCCGGGCUUAAAUUGCAGAUGAAUUACGGUGAAAGCCGUAAGCCGCAAGGCAUCUGUGAAGGUGCUGCAUGGUUGUCGUCAGCUCGUGCCGUGAGGUGUCGGCUUAAGUGCCAUAACGAGCGCAACCCUUAUCUUUAGUUACUAACAGGUCAUGCUGAGGACUCUAGAGAGACUGCCGUCGUAAGAUGUGAGGAAGGUGGGGAUGACGUCAAAUCAGCACGGCCCUUACGUCCGGGGCUACACACGUGUUACAAUGGGGGGUACAGAAGGCAGCUACCUGGUGACAGGAUGCUAAUCCCAAAAGCCUCUCUCAGUUCGGAUCGAAGUCUGCAACCCGACUUCGUGAAGCUGGAUUCGCUAGUAAUCGCGCAUCAGCCAUGGCGCGGUGAAUACGUUCCCGGGCCUUGCACACACCGCCCGU
rnacentral:rRNA from 1 species